rnacentral:rRNA from 1 species
UACAGAGGGGGCAAGCGUUGUUCGGAAUUACUGGGCGUAAAGGGCGCGUAGGCGGCCUGUUAAGUCGAACGUGAAAUCCCCGGGCUCAACCCGGGAACUGCGUCCGAUACUGGCAGGCUUGAAUCCGGGAGAGGGAUGCGGAAUUCCAGGUGUAGCGGUGAAAUGCGUAGAUAUCUGGAGGAACACCGGUGGCGAAGGCGGCAUCCUGGACCGGCAUUGACGCUGAGGCGCGAAAGCCAGGGGAGCAAACGGGGAUUAGAUACCC